GGAGAUUAGGUUACUAUUUCUAGCAUGUUCAGCAACCACCUAGUGGUGCAUUUGUUGGCUCUGCAUGAAACAUGUCAUUGGCGUUGGCUGGAUGUGAACUUGGAACAUAAGAGACUCGUGCAAGGUACCACAACACAUGUAACUGUACCAGUUUGUCCAGUCCAUGAUAAUGACUCUUUUACUUGUUUUAAUCAUUUGACUGUGGCCAUGCUGGAGCACCACCUUUAGUCGAGCAAAUCACCCCAGGACUUAAUCAUCAUCAUCAUCAUCAUCAUCAUCAUAUCAUCAUCAUCACCAUUCUUUAACAUCCAUCUUCAAUGCUGGCAUAGGAUGGAUAGUAUGACGGGAGCUGGCAAGCGGAAAGCUGCACCAAGCUCCAUUGUCUGAUAUGGCGUGGUUUCUAGGGGUGGAUGCCCUUCCUAAUGCCAACCACUUUACAGUGCGUGGACUGGGUGCUUUUUACAUGGUGCCAUAGGUGUGUGGAAUGAAGGGAACAUUACAAAGACAUGCUACAAAAAGUUGGUGAUGACCUGGAAAUUGAAUGAAAAAGAUUUUUAAAAAACAAUGCAAUAAAAGGUAUAUAUAGUACAGCAAUAACUGAUGAUAUGGGAGCUCCAGCUGGGGCCAGUCAUGGUGGUGUGUUGUGAGCUUGAGCAAGUUGCUUUAUUUCUCAUUGCUCCAGUAUAUUCAGCUGGCAAAAAUAAGUAGUAUUUGUAAUUCAAUGAACCAUCCUUGUGACAAUGUGUCCCACACUGUAUCAUCAUCAUCAUCAUUUAACAUCCGUUGUCCAUUCUGGCAUGGUUGGACAGUUUGACCAGAGCUGGCGUGCUGGGGAAGCUGUACCUCACUCUAGUCUGACUCAACAUGGUUUCUAUGGCUGGAUGACCUUCCUAACGCCUACCACUUUACAGAGUGUACCAGGUGCUUUUCUCCCUGAGAACUACGUUAAGGGCACAUGUGUCUGUGGAGUACUCAGCCACUUGCACGUUAAUCUCACAAGAAAGCCAUUCUGUUGGUCAGAUCAACUCAAACCCUGGUCAUUGCAAACCAAUGGAGUGCCAGUUUUUUUUUUAUAAUUAAUAAUAAUGAUUAUUCCUUUUGUCAUUAGGAUAAUGGACAGGCGGGGGGGGGGGUUAAAAUUAUAAAACCAUUUGUGAUAAGGUUACAAAGUUUGAUGUAUGGACAAUGGCAUAUUUGGGGAAAAACCAGAUGUGAAAUAUAUACAUUGUAUAAAUGUGUCCCAACAGAAGGGCCAUCAUCAGGGAACACUUUAUUAAUUUUCAUACUACUAAGGCAGCAAGCUGGCAGAAACUUUAGCACACCAGGCGAAAGGCUUUGAGUAUUUCGUCUGUCUUUACGUUCUGAGUUCAAAUUCCGCCGAGGUCGACUUUGCCUGUCAUCCUUUCGGAGUCGAUUAAAUAAGUACCAGUUGUGUACUGGGGUUGAUGUAAUCGACUUAAUCCCUUUGUCUGUCCCUGUUUGUCCCUCUCUAUGUUUAACCCCGCUGCAAGCAAUAAAGAAAUAAAUAUUUUAAGGCAGCAAGCUAGCAGAAACAUUAGCAUGCCAGGUGACAGGCUUAGAGUAUUUCGUCUGUCUUUAUGUUCUGAGUUCAAAUUCCGCCGAGGUCAACUGUGCCUUUCAGCCUUUUAGGGGGAGGGCAUAAAUUAAGUACCAGUUGCAUACUGGGGUCAUUCUAAUCGACUGGCCCCCUCCCCUAAAAUUUUGGGCCUUGUGCCUAGAGUAGAAAAGAAUCUUCAUACUGCUUGGUCUACCAAACUACAAAAUGUCCUUCACAAAAUUCUUACCAUGAUCUACAUACAGGACAAUGGUCAGCGACAAUUCCAUUUCUCUUUGACUCAAAUUUCUGUUGGGUUUAAACCAGAAUAAUGUUUUCCUGUGUUUGUAUGCAUAAAUGUGUGUGUGUAUAUAUAUGUAUAUGUGUGGAUGAUCAUGUGUGAACGUCUGUGUAUAUAUCUAUGCCUGUCUAUGUGUGGGGGCGUGUAUUUAUGUGUCUGUUCUUGUAUAUCUGAGUAUGUGUAUGUGAUGGUACGUGCAAGCAUGUGUGUGAGUGCAAGUAUGUGUUGAUGUCUGUGUGUGUGUGUUUAUGGUUGGUGUGUGCAUGCGUGAAUGAGUUUAUAUAUAUCUGCAAAGUUUGAUCAUGUUACAAAAAUGGACAGUGUGUGUGUGUGUGUGUGUGUGCGUGCGUUUGUAUGUGUGUGUGUGUGUGCGUUUGUGUGUGUGUGCGUGCGUGUGUGUGUGUGUGUGUGUGUUGUGUGUGUGUGUUUAUAAAAUGUCUCUGGAGUAGAGGAGAGUGGAGGGGAGCGAGGGAGUGAAUUAGAACAAAUAAUAAAAGAGAUGGAAAGGAAAAGUUAAGCAAAGGAAACAGAAAGAGAGAGAGAGAGAGAGAGAGAGAGAGAGAGAGGGAGGGAGGAAGAGAAAGUGACUGACUGACAGACAGACAGACAGACAGAUAAAUAACCCAGACUCUGCACUAACAGCCAUACACGCAGACAGACAGACAGGCAGGCAGAUAAAUAUACUGACAGCCAGACAGACAGAUAUAAACAUAAACCAGUGUUUCUAUAUAAGUUGCCCACAAGGUUACAGAUAUUAUAAAUAAGACUUUUAUAUAAAUACUAGCACAGUGAUGUAGUGUUGUGCUGUAGUACGGUGGCGGCGGAGGUGGUGGUGGUGGAGAGGAGGAUAGGACUUGUGGUGGUGGGUUUGUUAUUGAUGAUGAUGGUGAUGGUGGCAUAUAGAGGCAAAUUCACUGUAUUAUUUAAAGUAUAUUGUACCCCCACUUUAUAACUGCACAACUGCAACAUCAUGAUGAUGAUGGUGAUGGUGAUGGUGAAGAGGAAGAGGGAGAUGAGGCUUUUCCUUUUUUGCCACCAAGCUCCCAUUCACACAAAGAACAGAAAAAAAAUGCAGACUUGUCACAACCUGGUCCCGCCUCAAAUGGCUCUUACUGCCAAAAAGUUUGUCAGUUGGGGCACCAGUCUCAUUGCUGUGGCUUCUUUACUGAUGGUGAGGCACAGUUCCAGAAUUGCUCUGUAGUUUUCAGAAGCCAUUGUGAUUUGCAAGUGUCGACCAUAUGUUAUUUCUUGUGAUCUCUCUACUUACAGGCAACCCACAUUUGCACUUCAAAGUUGUUAACAAGUCAAAAAUCAACCUCCCUGCUAACACCUCACCCUGUUACCCUAGUAAUGUGUGGGCCUAUGAAUUGUGGUAUGAUCUUAUAUGCAAAUAUCAUGUGACUGAUCACGUGACAGACCAGCCCAUCAGAUGUUGCUACACAUAGCUGGUCUCAAUGCAUUCGCAUUGUUUUAGCCUUCGAAUGACGCCACCUCGCUGGCUAAGCAAGCACGCCAACAGAAGAAAGUACAGCAGGGAUCCCCCCCUCUCUGCCGGAGCCUCGUGGGGCUUUUAGGUGUUUUCGCUCAAUAAACACUCACAACGCCCGGUCUGGGAAUCGAAACCGUGAUCCUACGACCGCGAGUCCGCUGCCCUAACCACUGGGACAUUGCGCCUCCACAUAUGCAAAUAUAUGUUGCACUAUAUCUUCUUGGUAUUUUACCUUGCCCUUGGUUUUUAAUGUACUUCCUCUUUUACUCUUUUACUUGUUUCAGUCAUUUGACUGUGGCCAUGCUGGAACACUGCCUUUAGUUGAGUAAAUCGACCCCAGGACUUAUUCUUUGUAAGCCUAGUACUUAUUCUAUCGGUGUCUUUUGCCGAACUGCUAAGUUACAGGGACGUAAACACACCAGCAUCGGUUGUCAAGCGAUGUUUGGGGGACAAACACAGACACACAAGGCUAUAGUAGAAGACACUUGCCCAAGGUGCCAUGCAGUGGGACUGAACCCAGAACCAUGUGGUUCGUAAGCAAGCUACUUACCACACAGCCACUCCUAUGCCUAUAAAAACGUAUUUAUCACCUCCCCAGCGGGGAAUCGAACCCCAGGCUCCCGUGUGACAGGCGGGAUACUUACCACUAUACUACCAAGGAUAUAUUUCCAUAUAAUUAUCCCUGUUUGGUGAACAACAAACAGGCCCUUACAUCAACCAGAACUUCCAUUAGUUUAUCCUUUGAGGGCUCCCUGAAAACCAAACUUUCACUCUUUGUAAAACAGAAGUGUGGAACUUUUCUUUUUGCUUGUUCUUGGACAAUUUCUUAGGGAAAGAUGACAAAGCCUUUUGUAACACAUCAUUGCAAGGUUUCUUUCUCUGAAUGGAACCUGAUCAUAUCCAGACCUUUUCUUGGAAAACUAAUAUUUACACAACUGCUUCCAAAAUCACUAACAAUUAUCCUCAGUAAAAUUUAUGUAUGCGACUGUUGUUUGCCUUUCCACUGCAAAUUUAACCGUUCAACAUUCGGAUUACUCAGUCAAAUGUUAUGCUUACUUAUUCACAUUGUUUUAAAUUAAUCAUAAGGGUUGAACAUGCUCAGAAAAGUGGUUUAUUGAGGACAGUGAGGAUUUUCAGAAUGGUACUUGUGAGACCCUUUCCAACAGGUUCUUGUCUACUCUUACAGAAUUAGCCAGACCAAGUGAAAUUGAGAGCUCUGAGAAGUAAAACGAUGAUGAUUAAAACAAUUCUUUCUACUAUGGGCACAAGUUUUGACUUUCAGGGAAGGUGGAGGGCCAAUUUGUUACAUCAACCCCAGUGCUGCUUAACUGGUCCCUUUUUUCAUCAACCCUGAAAGGAUGAAAGGCAAAAUUGAUUUUGGCUGAAUUUGAACUCAGAACAUAAAGCCAGGAGAAAUACUGCUAAGCAUUUCACCCGGCAUGCUGACGAUUCUACCAGCUCGCCACCUUAAUAAUAAUAAUAAUAAUAAUAAUAAUAAUAAUAAUAACAAUAAUAAUACUAAUACUGAUAGUAAUUAUUUCUAAUUUUGUACAAGGCCAGCAACGUUAACGGGAGGCGACAGUCAAUUACAUUGACCCCAGUGCUCAACUGGUACUUAUUUUAUCAAUCCCAAAAGGAUGAAAAGCAAAGUCAACUUUGGCAGAAUUUGAACUCAAAAUGUAUGGUCAUGCUACUAAGCAUGCUAGCAAUUCUGCCAGCUCACUGCCUUAAUAUUAAUUAUAAUAAUAAUAAUGAUAAUAAUAAUAAUAAUAAUAAUAAUAAUAAUAAUAAUAAUAACACUAUCUAUUUUAAUAAAAGUGAACUUCUGUCUGUCUGUCUGGGACCCUUGUAUCUCAGUCUAUAUUUACUCUACAUAGACAUAUUAUACCUUUUUGGAAUCAGGAUGAUCCUAAGACUGAAAAUCUGCCCUUCAUUUGGUUCUUGAACAUCCAGCAUUGAGAUCUGAUUUAAAAACAUUUGGGUUGCUAUUUCUAGCUUGGCAGAUUCAGACCAUCUUAGUUGGAAUUUGUCAGAUGACGUCAGAGAUCAUGAGGGGGAUGAGUGACAUUUGCUUUGUUAUUUUUAUGUCGAGAUAAGAACUUCGGAACAAAUUGGCCAACAGUUGGAAUUCAACUUGGGACUGGAAUAAUAGAAGGAUUGCAUUACAGGAUUAAUUCUUAUCUGUCCUUAACCUUCUGAUCAAACACCAUCAGGGCAUAUAGUCAUUAUAGAUGUAUUGUAGUCGUGCUAUUUAGCUCUCUUUAGUUUUGGGUCACAGACCCAAUUAAUCCUCCACAGGAGCUAGCUUAAAAGUCUGCUUAGAGUGUGGCUUUUAAGCUAGUUAAUAAUAAUAAUAGGCCUGAAAUUCAGUGGGAGGGGACUAGUCUAUUUCAUUGACCCCAGUGUUUCACUGGUACUUAAUUUAUCAACCCCAAAAGAAUGAAAGGCAAAGUUGACCUCGGCAGAAUUUGAACCCAGAAUGUAGCGACAGGCGAAAUACCCCUAAGCAUUUCAUCCAGUGUGCUAACAAUUCUGCUUGCUCACCGCCUUUCUACCAGUUCAAUAAUAACAACAAUAUUUUGUAAGAAGAAUUUUUGUAAUGCUUCUUUCUUCUAUUUCCAGGUCAGCAUUUGGACCAUAAUCGCCAUAAAUGGUAACAAAGACGAAAUCAGUUUUGUCAGCAGCAAAAAGUGAACAUUUGUAAUAUGAAUUCAUCCACAACAACAUCAGCAUCAAGAAGACGUACUUACAACAUGAUCAGCCGAUUUGUUCCCAUUAAAUCCAUUAACAAACAUUAAAUUCACAGUAACCUCACAAACAUUUAAAUAACCGUUAUCAAGGUCACUCAUGUUCUUGUUGCCAACAAACAUUAAAGCAAUUACGAAAGCUAAAAGAAUUACAGAAGACUCAUAUUUGUUGUCAUUUUAAAAGCAGGGAUGGAUCACCAGCAGAUAUAUCUAAUUCGGUCAUAUUUUGGAUCUCAGUUUUCUCCGUUUCCUUCUAAAAUAUUUUGAUGUUCAUAUAAUCAGAGAUUAACAAGGAUCAAUGGAAGCUCCCAUGUUCUUUUUUUAAAACUCAAUUACAUUCUGUUCUGUUUUAUGGUGCAAUUAUUUAAAGGAAAGAUGUCAUUGGUGACCGACAUUGUGUGUAGCUAUACUUAUGGGCGCCAAACAUUAACACUCCCUUCACAAGGGAAAACAAAAUCUAUUUCUAACUCCAUUUGCUAAAAUAAUGCAAAAAAUGUUUUGAUGUUUUUCAUAUAUAAAGAACUAAUAUAUAUUUAUACUCAUAUAUUUGUAUAAUAUAUAUAUA
rnacentral:lncRNA from 1 species